GACGAACGCUGGCGGCGUGCUUAACACAUGCAAGUCGAACGGAAAGGCCCUGCUUUUGUGGGGUGCUCGAGUGGCGAACGGGUGAGUAACACGUGAGUAACCUGCCCUUGACUUUGGGAUAACUUCAGGAAACUGGGGCUAAUACCGGAUAGGAGCUCCUGCUGCAUGGUGGGGGUUGGAAAGUUUCGGCGGUUGGGGCUGGACUCGCGGCUUAUCAGCUUGUUUGUGGGGUAGUGGCUUACCAAGGCUUUGACGGGUAGCCGGCCUGAGAGGGUGACCGGCGACAUUGGGACUGAGGUACGGCCCAGUAUCCUACGGGAGGCAGCAGUGGGGAAUAUUGCGCAAUGGGCGGAAGCCUGAUGCAGCAACGCCGCGUGCGGGAUGACGGCCUUCGGGCUGUAAACCGCUUUCGCCUGUGACGAAGCGUGAGUGACGGUAAUGGGUAAAGAAGCACCGGCUAACUACGUG
rnacentral:rRNA from 1 species